rnacentral:rRNA from 1 species
UGGGGAAUUUUGGACGAAUUGGGCGAAAGCCUGAUCCAGCAAUGCCGCGUGUGUGAAGAAGGCCUUCGGGUUGUAAAGCACUUUUGUCCGGAAAGAAAUCCUUGGCUCUAAUACAGUCGGGGGAUACGGUACCGGAAGAAUAAGCACCGGCUAACUACGUGCCAGCAGCCGCGGUAAUACGUAGGGUGCAAGCGUUAAUCGGAAUUACUGGGCGUAAAGCGUGCGCAGGCGGUUUGCUAAGACCGAUGUGAAAUCCCCGGGCUCAACCUGGGAACUGCAUUGGUGACUGGCAGGCUAGAGUAUGGCAGAGGGGGGUUAGAAUUCCACGUGUAGCAGUGAAAUGCGUAGAGAUGUGGAGGAAUACCGAUGGCGAAGGCAGCCCCCUGGGCCAAUACUGACGCUCAUGCACGAAAGCGUGGGGAGCAAACAGGAUUNGAUACCCUGGUAGUCCACGCCCU